AUUCUGCCAGUAGUCAUAUGCUUGUCUCAAAGAUUAAGCCAUGCAUGUCUAAGUAUAAGCAAUUAUACCGUGAAACUGCGAAUGGCUCAUUAAAUCAGUUAUCGUUUAUUUGAUAAUACCUUACUACUUGGAUAACCGUGGUAAUUCUAGAGCUAAUACAUGCUGAAAAUCCCGACUUCGGAAGGGAUGUGUUUAUUAGAUAAAAAACCAAUGCCCUUCGGGGCUCCUUGGUGAUUCAUAAUAACUUUACGGAUCGCAUAGCCUUGCGCUGGCGACGGUUCAUUCAAAUUUCUGCCCUAUCAACUUUCGAUGGUAAGGUAUUGGCUUACCAUGGUUUCAACGGGUAACGGGGAAUUAGGGUUCGAUUCCGGAGAGGGAGCCUGAGAAACGGCUACCACAUCCAAGGAAGGCAGCAGGCGCGCAAAUUACCCAAUCCCGAUUCGGGGAGGUAGUGACAAUAAAUACUGAUACAGGGCUCUUUUGGGUCUUGUAAUUGGAAUGAGUACAAUUUAAACCUCUUAACGAGGAACAAUUGGAGGGCAAGUCUGGUGCCAGCAGCCGCGGUAAUUCCAGCUCCAAUAGCGUAUAUUAAAGUUGUUGCAGUUAAAAAGCUCGUAGUUGAAACUUGGGUCUGGCUGGCGGGUCCGCCUCACCGCGUGCACUCGUCCGGCCGGGCCUUCCUUCUGAAGAACCUCAUGCCCUUUACUGGGCGUGUUGGGGAAUCAGGACUUUUACUUUGAAAAAAUUAGAGUGUUCAAAGCAGGCCUUUGCUCGAAUACGUUAGCAUGGAAUAAUAAAAUAGGGCGUGCGUUUCUAUUUUGUUGGUUUCUAGAGACGCCGCAAUGAUUAACAGGAACAGUCGGGGGCAUCAGUAUUCAGUUGUCAGAGGUGAAAUUCUUGGAUUUACUGAAGACUAACUACUGCGAAAGCAUUUGCCAAGGAUGUUUUCAUUAAUCAGUGAACGAAAGUUAGGGGAUCGAAGACGAUCAGAUACCGUCGUAGUCUUAACCGUAAACUAUGCCGACUAGGGAUCGGGCGAUGUUCUUUUUCUGACUCGCUCGGCACCUUACGAGAAAUCAAAGUUUUUGGGUUCUGGGGGAUUAUGGUCGCAAGGCUGAAACUUAAAGAAAUUGACGGAAGGUCACCACCAGGCGUGGAGCCUGCGGCUUAAUUUGACUCAACACGGGGAAACUCACCAGGUUCAGAUGAAAUAAGGAUUGACAGAUUGAGAGCUCUUUCUUGAUUUUUCAGGUGGUGGUGCAUGGCCGUUCUUAGUUCGUGGGGUGACUUGUCUGCUUAAUUGCGAUAACGAGCGAGACCUUACUCUGCUAAAUAGCCAGGCUAGCUUUGGCUGGUCGCCGGCUUCUUAGAGAGACUAUCAACUCAAGUUGAUGGAAGUUUGAGGCAAUAACAGGUUAACCUACACAGGCCUGUAACAGUGGGCCUCGUUAAAGAUAACUGCUAGUCUAGCGUCUUAACCUUCUUUGGGGAAGUCCCCUACUGUCGGGAGAAGGCAAGUUUUACUUGUGACGUAGGCAACACCACCUGGUACAGGGAACGCCGGAUCUGCUAUUGCGUGUGCAGAUUG
rnacentral:rRNA from 1 species